GCUGAAUGUGGGGAUAAUUUAUCUUUGUAUUGUAGCUAACGCGUUAAGCACUCCGCCUGGGGACUACGGUCGCAAGACUAAAACUCAAAGGAAUUGACGGGGACCCGCACAAGCGGUGGAGCAUGUGGUUUAAUUCGAUGCAACGCGAAAAACCUUACCACUUUUUGACAUGAAGGUCGUAUCCCUCCUAACAGGGGGAGUCAGUUCGGCUGGACCUUACACAGGUGCUGCAUGGCUGUCGUCAGCUCGUGUCGUGAGAUGUUGGGUUAAGUCCCGCAACGAGCGCAACCCUCAUUCUUAGUUACCAACAGGUAAUGCUGGGCACUCUAAGGAAACUGCCAGUGAUAAACUGGAGGAAGGUGGGGAUGAUGUCAAGUCAGCACGGCCCUUAUAGGGUGGGCUACACACGUGCUACAAUGGCAACUACAAUAGGUCGCGAGAUCGCAAGAUUUAGCUAAUCCAUAAAAGUUGUCUCAGUUCGGAUUGUUCUCUGCAACUCGAGAGCAUGAAGUCGGAAUCGCUAGUAAUCGUGGAUCAUCAUGCCACGGUGAAUACGUUCUCGGGUCUUGUACACACUGCCCGUCACGCCAUGGGAAUUGGCUUAACUCGAAGCUGGUGUGCUAACCGAAAGGAAGCAGCCAU
rnacentral:rRNA from 1 species